UGCAAGUCGAACGGUAACAUUGGUGCUUGCACCAGAUGACGAGUGGCGCACGGGUGCGUAACGCGUAUGCAACCUACCUUUUACUAGAGUAUAGCCCAGAGAAAUUUGGAUUAAUCCUCUAUAAUAUCUUUUAAUUUCAUGAUUAAUUGAUUAAAGUUUUAACGGUAAAAGAUGGGCAUGCGUCCUAUUAGUUUGUAGGUGAGGUAACGGCUCACCUAGACUACGAUAGGUAGGGGCCCUGAGAGGGGGAUCCCCCACACUGGUACUGAGACACGGACCAGACUCCUACGGGAGGCAGCAGUAAGGAAUAUUGGACAAUGGACGAAAGUCUGAUCCAGCCAUGCCGCGUGCAGGAUGAAAGCCCUAUGGGUUGUAAACUGCUUUUAUACAGGAAGAAACACUCCGACUUGUCGGAGCUUGACGGUACUGUAAGAAUAAGGAUCGGCUAACUCCGUGCCAGCAGCCGCGGUAAUACGGAGGAUCCAAGCGUUAUCCGGAAUCAUUGGGUUUAAAGGGUCCGCAGGCGGUCUUUUAAGUCAGAGGUGAAAGCCUACAGCUCAACUGUAGAACGGCCUUUGAUACUGAAAGACUUGAGUUAUUGUGAAGUGGUUAGAAUGUGUGGUGUAGCGGUGAAAUGCAUAGAUAUCACACAGAAUACCGAUUGCGAAGGCAGAUCACUAACAAUAUACUGACGCUCAUGGACGAAAGCGUGGGGAGCGAACAGGAUUAGAUACCCUGGUAGUCCACGCCGUAAACGAUGGAUACUAGCUGUUCGUCUAACAUUGGUUAGAUGAGUGGCUAAGCGAAAGUGAUAAGUAUCCCACCUGGGGAGUA
rnacentral:rRNA from 1 species